AUCGAACGCUGGCGGCAGGCCUAACACAUGCAAGUCGAACGAGUGGCGGACGGGUGAGUAAUGUCUGGGAAACUGCCCGAUGGAGGGGGAUAACCACUGGAAAAGGUAGCUAAUACCGCAUACCAUCGGAUGUGCCCAGAUGGGAUUAGCGAGUAGGUGGGGUAAUGGCUCACCUAGGCGACGAUCCCUAGCUGGUCUGAGAGGAUGACCGGCCACACUGGAACUGAGACACGGUCCAGACUCCUACGGGAGGCAGCAGUGGGGAAUAUUGCACAAUGGACGCAAGCCUGACGCAGCCAUGCCGCGUGAGUGAAGAAGGCCUUCGGGUUGUAAAGUACUUUCAGCGAGGAGGCGUUACUCGCAGAAGAAGCACCGGCUAACUCCGUGCCAGCAGCCGCGGUAAUUC
rnacentral:rRNA from 1 species